rnacentral:rRNA from 1 species
GACUCAUAGCGGCGAAUCACGGGGCCCCUGCCUCCGUGAAGAAGGCAGCUAGCUGCGAGAAUUAACAUGAAUUGCAGGACCCGUCGGUCCUCGACGCUUCGAAUGCACUAGUGGCCCUGGGUGUGUAGUUAGUUUGAUUUUGCUGUCG